rnacentral:rRNA from 1 species
GUGGCAGCCGCCGCGGUAAUACGGAGGGUCCGAGCGUUAUCCGGAAUCAUUGGGUUUAAAGGGUCCGUAGGCGGGCCUGUAAGUCAGGGGUGAAAGUUUGUGGCUCAACCAUAAAAUUGCCUUUGAUACUGCAGGUCUUGAGUCAUGGUGGGGUUGCCGGAACAUGUGGUGUAGCGGUGAAAUGCAUAGAUAUCACAUAGAACACCGAUCGCGAAGGCAGGUGACCAACCAUGUACUGACGCUGAUGGACGAAAGCGUGGGUAGCGAACGGGAUUAGAUACCCCGGUAGUCCACGCCGUAAACGAUGGAUACUAGCUGUGGGGACAUUGUCUCCGUGGUCAAGCGAAAGUGAUAAGUAUCCCACCUGGGGAGUACGACCGCAAGGUUGAAACUCAAAGGAAUUGACGGGGGCCCGCACAAGCGGUGGAGCAUGUGGUUUAAUUCGAUGAUACGCGAGGAACCUUACCAGGGCUUAAAUGCAGGCUGCAUGGGGUGGAGACAUCCCUUUCUUCGGACCGCCUGCAAGGUGCUGCAUGGUUGUCGUCAGCUCGUGCCGUGAGGUGUCAGGUUAAGUCCUAUAACGAGCGCAACCCCUACCGUUAGUUGCCAGCGAGUCAAGUCGGGGACUCUAACGGGACUGCCGGUGCAAACCGUGAGGAAGGUGGGGACGACGUCAAAUCAUCACGGCCCUUACGUCCUGGGCCACACACGUGCUACAAUGGCCGGUACAGAGGGAAGCCACCCCGCAAGGGGGCGCGGAUCUAUAAAACCGGUCACAGUUCGGAUCGGGGUCUGCAACUCGACCCCGUGAAGCUGGAAUCGCGAGUAAUCGGAUAUCAGCCAUGAUCCGGUGAAUACGUUCCCGGG